rnacentral:rRNA from 1 species
UACGUAGGGACCAAGCGUUGUUCGGAUUUACUGGGCGUAAAGGGCGCGUAGGCGGCAUGUUAAGUCAGCUGUGAAAUCUCCGAGCUUAACUCGGAACUGUCAGCUGAUACUGAUGUGCUAGAGUGCAGAAGGGGCAAUCGGAAUUCUUGGUGUAGCGGUGAAAUGCGUAGAUAUCAAGAGGAACACCUGAGGUGAAGACGGGUUGCUGGGCUGACACUGACGCUGAGGCGCGAAAGCUAGGGGAGCAAACGGG